rnacentral:rRNA from 1 species
GGCUACCGCUAUUGGAGUUCGAUUAAGCCAUGCGAGUCUAGAGGCCUAGCCUCGGCGUACCGCUCAGUAACACGUGGGUAACCUACCCUAUGCUGGGGGAUAAGCUCGGGAAACUGAGAAUAAUACCCCAUAGUCCACUACGCCUGGAACGGUGAGUGGAUCAAAGCUCCGGCGGCAUAGGAUGGGCCUGCGGCGUAUCAGGUUGUAGGGGGUGUAACGUACCCUCUAGCCAUCCACGCGUACGGGUGUUGGGAGACAUUGCCCGGAGAUGGAUUCUGAGACACGAAUCCAGACCCUACGGGGUGCAGCAGGCGCGAAAACUUGGCAAUGCGAGAAAUCGUGACCAGGGAACUCCAAGUGGCAGGGGUAAGACCCUGUCUUUUUCCGACUCUAAAUAGGUCGGCGAAUAAGGGGUGGGUAAGGACGGUGCCAGCCGCCGCGGUAAUACCGGCGCCUCAAGUGGUAGUCGCUUUUAUUGGGCCUAAAACGUCCGUAGCCGGUCUGGUACAUUCGUGGGUAAAUCAACUCGCUUAACGAGUUGAAUUCUGCGAGGACGGCCAGACUUGGGACCGGGAGAGGUGUGGGGUACUCUCAGGGUAGGGGUAAAAUCCUGUCAUCCUGAGAGGACCACCUGUUGCGAAGGCUCCACACUAGAACGGAUCCGACGGUCAGGGACGAAGCCUAGGGGCACGAACCGGAUUAGAUACCCGGGUAGUCCUAGGUGUAAACGCUGUGGACUUGAUGUUGGGGACGCUCCGAGCGUUCUCAGUGUCGAAGCGAAGGUGAUAAGUCCACUGCCUGGGGAGUACGGUCGCAAGGCUGAAACUUAAAGGAAUUGGCGGGGGAGCACCGCAACCUGAGGAUUGUGCGGUUU